ensembl:lncRNA
UGUCAUUCCAAAUCUGUAUUUUGAAAAAUAAAAUAUUGCUAACCAGUUUUGGUUACCAUAGAAAGUAAACAUCUGUCAAAAUAUCAGUUUUUAUGUUCCACAAAAGAACGAAAGUCUCAAAGGUUUGGAACGACACGAGGGACAAUAGAAAUGACUAACACAUCCCUAUGAGAAGAGAUGAGAAGGACAAUUACAGAAGAAGCACAACCUGGAGGGACAACUGCUUUCUAAGAUCUUUAUUGUGUAAAAAUCAUCAAUAUUCAAGGAGUUCAUAAAAAUCAUACAUCAACAGGAGAGACAGGAACUUUGGAAAGAUCAUUAAUGAUGGCAACAACUGCUGACCUUUCAGCUGAUUCUAACCCAAGCCAAACCGUGAAAUAUGAUCCAAAGUCGGAAACGGUGAUGUUACCAAAUGGGUUGGUUUCUGUGGCAGGUGUCACGGUGGUGACAGGGGGAGCAGAG